rnacentral:rRNA from 1 species
UACGUAGGUCCCGAGCGUUGUCCGGAUUUAUUGGGCGUAAAGCGAGCGCAGGUGGUUUAAUAAGUCUGAUGUAAAAGGCAGUGGCUCAACCAUUGUGUGCAUUGGAAACUGUUAGACUUGAGUGCAGUAGAGGAGAGUGGAAUUCCAUGUGUAGCGGUGAAAUGCGUAGAUAUAUGGAGGAACACCGGUGGCGAAAGCGGCUCUCUGGACUGAUACUGACACUGAGGUGCGAAAGCGUGGGGAGCAAACAGG